ACUUUCAACAAUGGAUCUCUUGGUUCCGGCAUCGAUGAAGAACGCAGCGAAAUGCGAUAACUAAUGUGAAUUGCAGAAUUCAGUGAAUCAUCGAGUCUUUGAACGCACAUUGCGCCCCCUGGUAUUCCGGGGGGCAUGCCUGUCCGAGCGUCAUUGCUG
rnacentral:rRNA from 1 species